rnacentral:rRNA from 1 species
AACGAACGCUGGCGGCGUGCCUAACACAUGCAAGUCGAACGCGAAAAGCAGUAAUGCUGAGUAGAGUGGCGCACGGGUGAGUAACACGUAAAUGACAUGUCCUCGAGACGGGAAUAACCAGCCGAAAGGCUGGCUAAUACCCGGUAAGCCCACGUCUUUGGAGAUGAGGGAAAAGGGUCGGGAAUUUUCGAAUCCGAUCGCUUGAGGAGUGGUUUGCGGCCCAUCAGGUAGUUGGCGAGGUAAAAGCUCACCAAGCCUAAGACGGGUAGCUGGUCUGAGAGGGUGAUCAGCCACACUGGAACUGAGACACGGUCCAGACUCCUACGGGAGGCAGCAGUGGGGAAUCUUGCGCAAUGGGAGCAAUCCUGACGCAGCAACGCCGCGUGGGUGAUGAAGGUCUUCGGAUCGUAAAGCCCUGUCGGAGGGAAGAUGCUUGGAACGUCUAAUAGAUGAGCCAGGUGACGGUACCCUCAAAGGAAGCACCGGCUAACU